rnacentral:rRNA from 1 species
UACGGAGGUGGCAAGCGUUGCUCGGAAUCACUGGGCGUAAAGGGCGCGUAGGCGGGGAGGUAAGUCGGGUGUGAAAUCCCUCGGCCCAACCGAGGAACUGCGCCCGAGACUGCUUCUCUUGAGUCCCGGAGAGGAAGAUGGAAUUCCCGGUGUAGCGGUGAAAUGUGUAGAGAUCGGGAGGAACAACGGUGGCGAAGGCGGUCUUCUGGACGGUGACUGACGCUGAGGCGCGAAAGCGUGGGGAGCAAACGGG